GCGGAGGAAAAGAAACCAACAGGGAUUGCCUCAGUAACGGCGAGUGAAGCGGCAACAGCUCAAAUUUGAAAUCUGGCCCUUUCAGGGUCCGAGUUGUAAUUUGUAGAGGGUGCUUUGGUGUUGGCCGUGGUCUAAGUUCCUUGGAACAGGACGUCACAGAGGGUGAGAAUCCCGUACGUGGCCGCCGGUCUUCACCGUGUAAAGCCCCUUCGACGAGUCGAGUUGUUUGGGAAUGCAGCUCUAAAUGGGAGAUAAAUUUCUUCUAAAGCUAAAUAUUGGCCAGAGACCGAUAGCGCACAAGUAGAGUGAUCGAAAGAUGAAAAGCACUUUGGAAAGAGAGUCAAAAAGCACGUGAAAUUGUUGAAAGGGAAGCGCUUGCAGCCAGACGUGCCCGCAGUUGCUCACCUGGGCUUUUGCCCGGGGCAUUCUUCUGCGGGCAGGCCAGCAUCAGUUCGGGCGGUUGGAUAAAGGCCUCUAUCACGUACCAUCCUUCGGGAUGUCCUUAUAGGGGAGGCGCAACACGACCAGCCUGAACUGAGGACCGCGCAUUUGCUAGGAUGCUGGCGUAAUGGCUGUAAGCGGCCCGUCUUGAAACACGGACCAAGGAGUCUAACAUCUAUGCGAGUGUUUGGGUGUAAAGCCCGGACGCGCAAUGAAAGUGAACGGAGGUGGGAACCCCUCGGGGUGCACCAUCGACCGAUCCUGAAGUCUUCGGAUGGAUUUGAGUAAGAGCAUAGCUGUUGGGACCCGAAAGAUGGUGAACUAUGCCUGAAUAGGGUGAAGCCAGGGGAAACCCUGGUGGAGGCUCGCAGCGGUUCUGACGUGCAAAUCGAUCGUCAAAUUUGGGCAUAGGGGCGAAAGACUA
rnacentral:rRNA from 1 species